rnacentral:rRNA from 1 species
GAGUUUGAUCCUGGCUCAGAUUGAACGCUGGCGGCAGGCCUAACACAUGCAAGUCGAGCGGCAGCGACUUAACUGAACCUUCGGGGAACGUUAAGGGCGGCGAGCGGCGGACGGGUGAGUAAUGCCUGGGAAUAUGCCCUGAUGUGGGGGAUAACUAUUGGAAACGAUAGCUAAUACCGCAUAAUCUCUUCGGAGCAAAGAGGGGGACCUUCGGGCCUCUCGCGUCAGGAUUAGCCCAGGUGGGAUUAGCUUGUUGGUGAGGUAAUGGCUCACCAAGGCAACGAUCCCUAGCUGGUCUGAGAGGAUGAUCAGCCACACUGGAACUGAGACACGGUCCAGACUCCUACGGGAGGCAGCAGUGGGGAAUAUUGCACAAUGGGGGAAACCCUGAUGCAGCCAUGCCGCGUGUGUGAAGAAGGCCUUCGGGUUGUAAAGCACUUUCAGUAGGGAGGAAGGUAGUGUAGUUAACACCUGCAUUAUUUGACGUUACCUACAGAAGAAGCACCGGCUAACUCCGUGCCAGCAGCCGCGGUAAUACGGAGGGUGCGAGCGUUAAUCGGAAUUACUGGGCGUAAAGCGCAUGCAGGCGGCCUGUUAAGUCAGAUGUGAAAGCCCGGGGCUUAACCUCGGAAUUGCAUUUGAAACUGGCAGGCUAGAGUCUUGUAGAGGGGGGUAGAAUUUCAGGUGUAGCGGUGAAAUGCGUAGAGAUCUG